rnacentral:sRNA from 1 species
ACACACUCGGAGCGUCUGCUAGGGCUGCAGCUCUGCGCGUCCAUCUCUGCGCUCUGCGCCAGCCUUCCCCACCGGGCCCGGCGAGUUUCCACCCGCAGGGCCGGUGCUCUCAGCUUUUGUUUUCUCUGGACACCUUCUUCUCUACCCCUGCUGUGCUGGCGCACACAUGCUGUCCUUGCUCCGGCUCUCCCUGCACCUACAGCUGUGGGAGCUCCCGGCAGCCUGGGACUGUGGGGUCGCUGCACGGAGCCACCAUGGCCUCUGACGUGGAGAGCUGUGACCUGCCGAGGCUUUGAUGUCGCUGCCCAGGGCUGGCCAGGACACUGGGGCCGCAGGAGAGGGGACUUACCGUGGUUCCCAGUGACCUGACAGCAGAGGAGCGUCAAGAACUGGAGAACAUCCGACGGAGAAAACAGGAGCUGCUGGCUGACAUUCAGAGGCUGAAGGAUGAGAUAGCAGAAGUAGCUAAUGAAAUUGAAAACCUGGGAUCCACAGAGGAAAGGAGAAGGAGGAGUGGAUUAAGUGUAUUAAAGCAGCCAUCAGCAGGGACCCUUUCUACGAAAUGCUCGCAGCACGGAAAAA